GGACUACUGGGGUAUCUAAUCCUGUUUGCUCCCCAUGCUUUCGCGCCUCAGCGUCAGUUUCAGCCCAGUAAACCGUCUUCACCACCGGUGUUCUUCCACAUAUCUACGCAUUUCACCGCUACACGUGGAAUUCCGUUUACCCUAACUGAACUCUAGUUCUGCAGUUUCAAACGCAGCUCCGGGGUUGAGCCCCGGAAUUUCACGUCCGACUUAUAGAACCGCCUACGCGCCCUUUACGCCCAGUAAUUCCGAUCAAUGCUUGCACCCUCCGUAUUACCGCGGCUGCUGGCAC
rnacentral:rRNA from 1 species